GGUACCUCGAUUUAAUAUUUGUACCUGUUAUUGUUAGAAAGAAAUCUUACAUCUCCCCCUCUCGGAGCCCAGGUAUCAUAUACGCCUCCAAAAUAAAGAGCCUUGAAUACUAGAAGAAAAACACCUAUACCUAACAAGAUUAAGUGAAUACCCAAAAUUGUGGUCAUUUUAUUUCUAUCUUUCCA
rnacentral:antisense_RNA from 1 species